rnacentral:rRNA from 1 species
UACGGGGGGAGCAAGCGUUGUUCGGAUUUACUGGGCGUAAAGGGCGCGUAGGCGGUCGUGACAAGUCACUUGUGAAAUCUCCGGGCUUAACUCGGAACGGUCAAGUGAUACUGUCGUGCUAGAGUACAGAAGGGGCAACUGGAAUUCUCGGUGUAGCGGUGAAAUGCGUAGAUAUCGAGAGGAACACCUGCGGCGAAGGCGGGUUGCUGGGCUGAUACUGACGCUGAGGCGCGAAAGCUAGGGGAGCAAACAGG